GGCCGUGUGGUGUAGUGGUAGCAUACUUGCUUUGGGAACUUCUCUCAUUGCUCUUGCAAGUGGUCCCAGGUUCGAGCCCUGGCUCGGCCC